GAUGAACGCUGGCGGCGUGCCUAAUACAUGCAAGUCGAGCGAACAGACGAGGAGCUUGCUCCUCUGACGUUAGCGGCGGACGGGUGAGUAACACGUGGAUAACCUACCUAUAAGACUGGGAUAACUUCGGGAAACCGGAGCUAAUACCGGAUAAUAUAUUGAACCGCAUGGUUCAAUAGUGAAAGACGGUUUUGCUGUCACUUAUAGAUGGAUCCGCGCCGCAUUAGCUAGUUGGUAAGGUAACGGCUUACCAAGGCAACGAUGCGUAGCCGACCUGAGAGGGUGAUCGGCCACACUGGAACUGAGACACGGUCCAGACUCCUACGGGAGGCAGCAGUAGGGAAUCUUCCGCAAUGGGCGAAAGCUUGACGGAGCAACGCCGCGUGAGUGAUGAAGGUCUUCGGAUCGUAAAACUCUGUUAUUAGGGAAGAACAAAUGUGUAAGUAACUAUGCACGUCUUGAUGGUACCUAAUCAGAAAGCCACGGCUAACUACGUG
rnacentral:rRNA from 1 species